GCCCAGAUGUGGAGUGCCUGAUGUGGCUCAGUUUGUCCUCACUGAGGGGAACCCUCGCUGGGAGCAAACACAUCUGACCUACAGAUUGAAAAUUACACGCCAGAUUUGCCAAGAGCAGAUGUGGACCAUGCCAUUGAGAAAGCCUUCCAACUCUGGAGUAAUGUCACACCUCUGACAUUCACCAAGGUCUCUGAGGGUCAAG
rnacentral:lncRNA from 1 species